CAUACUCCCGAGAAAAUCCGCUAAACUUAAUCCUUGUGGUACCCGUACCGCAAACGGACACACGUAGUCGGGUUGAAUAUACUAAGGCGCUUGAGUGAUUCACGGUUAAGGAACUAGGCAAACUGACCCUGUAACUUCGGGAUAAAGGGUCCUCAGGGUGACUUGAGGCGCAGAGAAUCGGUCCAGGCAACUGUUUAACAAAAACACAGGGCUGUGCAAAAUAGAAAUAUGAAGUAUACAGCCUGACACCUGCCCGGUGCUGGAAGGUUAAGAGGAGAUGUCAUCGCAAGAGAAGCAUUGAAUUGAAGCCCCAGUAAACGGCGGCCGUAACUAUAACGGUCCUAAGGUAGCGAAAUUCCUUGUCGGGUAAGUUCCGACCUGCACGAAUGGUGUAAUGAUCUGGACGCUGUCUCAACCGUGAGCUCAGUGAAAUUGUAGUAUCGGUGAAGAUGCCGAUUACCCGCGAUGGGACGAAAAGACCCCGUGAACCUUUACUAUAGCUUAACAUUGAAUUUGGGUAAUUGAUGUGUAGGAUAGGCCGGAGGCUUUGAAGCAGGUACGCCAGUAUUUGUGGAGCCGCUGUUGAAAUACGGCCCUUUGAUUAUUUGAGUUCUAACCCG
rnacentral:ncRNA from 1 species